AGACAAUCAGGGAGUAACUAGGACCAUCUUAGAGCGAGCUAAGUGCCUCAGGCGAGAUAACGCAGAGGUGGGAGACAGAGUGGGUGGGGAGGGGAGCCGCCAUACAGUGGCCAAGACCAGCUUUGCCCAAGUGGUGGCAACCGCAUGACCACAGGAACGAUGGCGUGAGCCCCAUGGCAACCUGGAGGAAGGGAAAUAAUCCAGGAUCCAUUUUGUGUGGUCAUCUUGUCUCCCUGGUCCCCUCCAGCCUUUCCUCAUCUUUUGUGACCUGGUCACUCUGGAAGGGCGCUGGCCGCACGGCAGGCCGGGCUCCGGAGAAGCAUCCUGAGGACCAGUGUUCCUAGGGACCUCAUUCUUCUGACCUCAUUCCUACAACAUUUUGUCACUGCAAAGGAAAUCACCAAGGCCAGACAAGCGAGCUCAUGGAAACCUCUCCAUCGUUGGCCAGGAUCUAUAGGAAAACCCUCCUCUUCUUCUAUAUGCAAAGGCUCCACGGCUCCUGGUUCACCUGCACCUCUCCAGACCACCAUGGUGCCUGCAGCUCUGAGGGCAUUUUAAAUCAUCACAGAACAACAAGCAUAUAAGCAUCAUGAGUGCCUCUGGACCUCUGACGUGCCUUGUGGAGGCCUGCCAGGCCCACAUUUUAAUUUACAUGAACUCGAUGCCCUCUUUGACAGGGAGAGAUCUGCUUCUUUAUUUGUUAGCCUUUCCCCUGGACCUGCUAGAUCUGGACCAUCCCCAGGAAAGGAAGGUCACACUACAAAGAUAAAUAUGAACAAAAUGAGUUAAUUAAGAAGGAGUUAGUCUGAAAUUCAAUAUUCCCAAGAGCCCAAGCCCUUCAGUUCUAAGGGAAUUUUUCUCCCCUGUAAAAUAGAACUGUUGGGUACAAUGAGAUUCCAUUGUAUAUGGUCUCACUUAGAAUUUCUGUCUCAUUUCACAUAUGCAAACACUGAGGCUCUGUGAGGUGAGAGAUUUGCUGCACUAGGCCCUGAAAGGCACAGCCAGUGAGCAUUCAGCCCAGGGUACAUCUGCUGGCUUCACAGUUGCCCUGCUAUUCUGUGGUCCAAUGUGGCUGCUCUAGCUCCAGUCAUCAUGUCUGCAUUCUUGCCAGUGGGAAGGGCAAAGCAUGACCUUUCUUUUUAAGAACACGUUUGAAGUUGCACACAUCAUUUCUGCUCAUGUUUCACUGGCCAGCAUUUAAACGGAUGGGCGUACCUAGCUGCAGGGAAGGCUGUAGUCUUCAUUCUGGGAUGAAGUGUACCCAGCUAAAAGUCUAGAGUUUUAUUUCUAUGAGAGAAGUUGAGCAUGGAUACUGGGGGACAAUGAACCAUUUCCACUUCAUCUUCUAAUAAAUGUGACAAGUGCAAUGCUUAU